GAUGAACGCUAGCGGCAGGCCUAAUACAUGCAAGUCGAACGGUCCACUUCGGUGGAUAGUGGCGCGCGGGUGCGUAACACGUAUGCAACCUACCUUACAUUGGGGGAUAGCCUUUCGAAAGGGAGAUUAAUACCGCAUAAGACAGUAACAUGGCAUCAUGUAGCUGUUAAAGAUUUAUCGAUGUAAGCUGGGCAUGCGUCCAAUUAGUUAGUUGGUGAGGUAAUGGCUCACCGAGACGAUGAUUGGUAGGGGAACUGAGAGGUCAAUCCCCCACACUGGCACUGAGAUACGGGCCAGACUCCUACGGGAGGCAGCAGUAGGGAAUAUUGGGCAAUGGACGCAAGUCUGACCCAGCCAUGCCGCGUGCAGGAAGAAGGCGUUCUGCGUUGUAAACUGCUUUUAUAUAGGAAGAAACGACCCUUGCGAGGGGCAUUGACGGUAUUAUAUGAAUAAGCACCGGCCAACUCCGUGCCAGCCGCCGCAGUAAUAC
rnacentral:rRNA from 1 species